rnacentral:rRNA from 1 species
AUUGAACGCUGGCGGCAUGCUUUACACAUGCAAGUCGAACGGCAACACGGGGGCAACCCUGGUGGCGAGUGGCGAACGGGUGAGUAAUACAUAGGAACGUAUCCUGAAAUGGGGGAUAGCUCGGCGAAAGCCGGAUUAAUACCGCAUACGAUCUACGGAUGAAAGCAGGGGAUUCGCAAGAACCUUGCGUUUCUGGAGCGGCCUAUGUCUGAUUAGCUAGUUGGCGGGGUAAAAGCCCACCAAGGCGACGAUCAGUAGCUGGUCUGAGAGGAUGAUCAGCCACACUGGGACUGAGACACGGGCCCAGACUCCUACGGGAGGCAGCAGUGGGGAAUUUUGGACAAU